AGAUGAAAAGAGAAUUAGAAGUAACCCAAGCCCCUAGUGACAAUGAAACAGAGAAAAUGAAAUCUUCUUUUCAUGCAAAACUUCAAAAACUGGAAGAAAGAAAAAACAUCUGGGAGCAGAAAGCCAAUGAGAUCAAGAGUUUUUUAAAAUUGUCAGAAGUCAGGGUGCACAAGAUGGCAGACAUGAUGGUGAAAAGACUUUUAGUAGAAUUGGAGACAGGCGGCAAUGUUCGGUUUGA
rnacentral:sRNA from 1 species